UUGUAGGGAAAGGAGUAGUUGUAUUAGUGGUUGUGGUAGGAAAGGCAGUACCAGUGCUAGCAGUAGUAGCACUUGUAGGGAAAGGAGUAAUUGUAGUAGUGGUUGUGGUAGGAAAGGCAGUACCAGUGCUAGCAGUAGUAGCAUUUGUAGGGAAAGAAGUAGUUGUAUUAGUGGUUGUGGUAGGAAAGGCAGUACCAGUGCUAGCAGUAGUAGCACUUGUAGGGAAAGGAGUAAUUGUAGUAGUGGUUGUGGUAGGAAAGGCAGUACCAAUGCUAACAGUAGUAGCAUUUGUAGGGAAAGGAGUAGUUGUAUUAGUGGUUGUGGUAGGAAAGGCAGUACCAGUGCUAGCAGUAGUAGCACUUGUAGGGAAAGGAGUAAUUGUAGUAGUGGUUGUGGUAGGAAAGGCAGUACCAGUGCUAGCAGUAGUAGCAUUUGUAGGGAAAGGAGUAGUUGUAUUAGUGGUUGUGGUAGGAAAGGCAGUACCAGUGCUAUCAGUAGUAGCAUUUGUAGGGAAAGGAGUAGUUGUAUUAGUGGUUGUGUUAGGAACGGCAGUAUCAGUGCUAUCAGUAGCAG